rnacentral:tRNA from 1 species
GGUGGCUCAGUGGUAGAGUGCUUGCUUAGCAUGCAUGACAACCUGAGUUCGAUUCCUCAGUACCA